rnacentral:rRNA from 1 species
GACGAACGCGGCGGCGUGCCUAAUACAUGCAAGUAGAACGCUGAAGGAGGAGCUUGCUUCUCUGGAUGAGUUGCGAACGGGUGAGUAACGCGUAGGUAACCUGCCUGGUAGCGGGGGAUAACUAUUGGAAACGAUAGCUAAUACCGCAUAAUAGCAGUUAUUGCAUGAUAACUGUUUGAAAGGUGCAAUUGCACCACUACCAGAUGGACCUGCGUUGUAUUAGCUAGUUGGUGGGGUAACGGCUCACCAAGGCGACGAUACAUAGCCGACCUGAGAGGGUGAUCGGCCACACUGGGACUGAGACACGGCCCAGACUCCUACGGGAGGCAGCAGUAGGGAAUCUUCGGCAAUGGACGGAAGUCUGACCGAGCAACGCCGCGUGAGUGAAGAAGGUUUUCGGAUCGUAAAGCUCUGUUGUAAGAGAAGAACGAGUGUGAGAGUGGAAAAGUUCACACUGUGA